CGCGGCCUAUCAGCUUGUUGGUGGGGUAAUGGCCUACCAAGGCGACGACGGGUAGCCGGCCUGAGAGGGCGACCGGCCACACUGGGACUGAGACACGGCCCAGACUCCUACGGGAGGCAGCAGUGGGGAAUAUUGCACAAUGGGCGAAAGCCUGAUGCAGCGACGCCGCGUGAGGGAUGACGGCCUUCGGGUUGUAAACCUCUUUCAGCAGGGAAGAAGCGAAAGUGACGGUACCUGCAGAAGAAGCGCCGGCUAACUACGUGCCAGCAGCCGCGGUAAUACGUAGGGCGCAAGCGUUGUCCGGAAUUAUUGGGCGUAAAGAGCUCGUAGGCGGCUUGUCACGUCGGAUGUGAAAGCCCGGGGCUUAACCCCGGGUCUGCCUUCGAUACGGGCUAGCUAGAGUGUGGUAGGGGAGAUCGGAAUUCCUGGUGUAGCGGUGAAAUGCGCAGAUAUCAGGAGGAACACCGGUGGCGAAGGCGGAUCUCUGGGCCAUUACUGACGCUGAGGAGCGAAAGCGUGGGGAGCGAACAGGAUUAGAUACCCUGGUAGUCCACGCCGUAAACGUUGGGAACUAGGUGUUGGCGACAUUCCACGUCGUCGGUGCCGCAGCUAACGCAUUAAGUUCCCCGCCUGGGGAGUACGG
rnacentral:rRNA from 1 species